rnacentral:rRNA from 1 species
UACGGAUGGUGCGAGCGUUGUUCGGAAUUACUGGGCGUAAAGGGCGCGUAGGCGGCCUAUCAAGUCAGGUGUGAAAGCCCACGGCUCAACCGUGGACGUGCAUCUGAAACUGACAGGCUUGAGUACUGGAGAGGAAAGUGGAAUUCCUGGUGUAGAGGUGAAAUUCGUAGGUAUCAGGAGGAAUACCGGUGGCGAAGGCGACUUUCUGGACAGAUACUGACGCUGAGGCGCGAAAGCGUGGGGAGCAAACAGG